UGCUGUGGGAAAAAUCCAGAAUUGGGAUCAGUGUUAGAAUCGGGCCCCUACUCCUCUCUACCCCCAGAAACUGUCUACUCCCCUCACUGCUUUCCCCCUCACAACCCACACCCUGUCUCCCAGUUUACAGGAAUGGGCUGGGAGCUGGAGCCUUCCCAGGCCAGGGGACCCAGCCAGCCCUGGGAAGGGGCAUGAGCCCUUCAAAGCUAGGAUACACGCCAGGGCCAGGGCUGCAGCUCCCAGCAG